AUGGAUUGGUGGAAAAUAUGUGUCCCAAAGAAUCAAGGAGGAUUGGGAUUUCGAGAUAUCCACCGUUUCAAUCUGGUGCUGUUGGCAAAACAGGCUUGGCUCCUUCUUGAGAACCCUGACUCUUUAUGUGCUAUUAUUUUGAGAGUCGAGUACUAUCCUGAUGGUGAUUUAAUGAACACAAAGUUCUAAAAGAGACGCUCUUUUACUUGACAAAGCAUUAUGGCGGGAGUGAAUUCUCUGAAGCAGGGUUAUAUUUGGUGAGUUGGAAAUGGUAAGAAAAUUGGUAUUUGGAAAGAUUCGUGGAUUUCCAAUUGUCUCUCCGGGAAAGUUAUCACUCCUAGAGGGAGUCACUUAUUAUCUAGGGUCUCAGAUUUUAUUGAUCCGACUUCUAAUAACUGGGAUGAAAAUCUAGUCAGGCAAACUUUGUGGCCUAUUUAUGCUCAAUAGGUCCUUGCUAUCCAUCUCCCUCAACAUGACAUGGAAGAUUUUAUCGCCUGGAACUUCAUGAAAAAUAGUUUGUUUUUUGUAUGGUCAGCUUAUUUUGUGUAA
rnacentral:rRNA from 1 species